rnacentral:piRNA from 1 species
UCAAGGUUUUUUUAUUGCAUU